rnacentral:rRNA from 1 species
CCUGGGGAGUACGGUCGCAAGGCUGAAACUUAAAGGAAUGGCGGGGGAGCACUGCAACGGGAGGAGCGUGCGGUUUAAUUGGAUUCAACGCCGGAAAACUCACCAAGGCCGACUGUUAGAUGAAGAUCAGCGUAAUGAGCUUAUCGGAUUUUCAGAGAGGUGGUGCAUGGCCGUCGUCAGUUCGUACUGUAAAGCGUUCUGUUAAGUCAGAUAACGAACGAGACCCUCAUCUCUAUUUGCUACCCCGUUCUCCGGAACGGGCGCACUAUAGAGAGACCGCUGGUGUGAAACCAGAGGAAGGCGAGGGCAACGACAGGUCAGUAUGCCCCGAAUGUCUUGGGCUACACGCGCGCUACAAAGGACAGGACAAUGGGAUGCUAGGCCGAGAGGCAUUCACGCUAACCCGAAACCUGUUCAUAGUUCGGAUUGAGGGCUGUAACUCGCCCUCAUGAAGCUGGAUUCCGUAGUAAUCGUGUUUCAAUAUAGCACGGUGAAUAUGCCCCUGCUCCUUGCACACACCGCCCGUCAAACCAUCUUAGUUGGGGGUGGGUGAGGCUGCGCUUUAUGGCGUAUUCGAGCCUGCCUUCGACAAGGAGGGUUAAGUCGUAACAAGGUAUCUGUAGGGGAACCUGCAGAUG